GCAGCCAUUACAAGUAGAACGGAGUUCACCUGUGGGUAAUCAAGGUGUCGUUUGACUUCAGAAGAAAUCAAUCUUAAGACCUUCAAGCCCCCAGAGGUUUUUAAACAUCAACAACUUCUCUAAACAAACAUCAAGAUCAAUAAGCUAGCAAAAGAAAAAUGAUCCAUUCAUGACAUAAUCGAAGAAAGAACCUGGAAAAAAGCUGUGAGGAGGAUAUGAAGGUAGAGAUGAAACACCAACAGUUGCAGAAACUACGUGAUCUUUCGCACCCGCCCCACUCGUCAGAUUUGACACCACUGUAGACCAGCGUGAAUCGUAGAAGGUGCUUGACACGCUUCCAGGUCUCAUUCUUGAAGGGGCAGAAUUGCUGGGAGCACUGUAUUGCUGUGCAGAGACUAUUUGAAAGCAUCUCUGACGAAACACUUAACUUACAUCACAAGACAUAAAGGAGUUCUGCCAUCUUGAUUGUUUGCACAGACGGCGAGCAGCUAAUUAUGCCGAGGCUCAUGGAGCAGCUGAAGGUGCCGUUGUGGCAGGUGCAGUGCAAUGGUGUAAUGUAUAACGGCACAUACACUCUGUUCCGGCAGGAGUUUCUGCUAUGCCGUGCCACAGCGAUGCCAUGCCAGACCCAAGUCCAGGGGAAACUGCUCAUUGACGUGUUUGAGGUCAGAGGAUUAACUACAGUUUCCCCUUACAGAACAUAAAUCAUACAGCACAGUACAAAAGUCACUUCCUAGAACUGUGCUUGCGUCAUCAUUUUUAUUUAUUUUUUUUUAAAAAAUGAAUGCAAGCAUUUACAUCAACCAUUUUUUUUUUUAUUUGUUUAGUGGGAAACAUGUUUUAAGAUGUAUGAGACGCUCUUGUAUGGAAUGCAUUUGUGUAUUCAUGAUAUGGCUCUCAGAAUUGACACACACUAAAUACAUGAAUAAGUAUUAUUAGUUUUGAUGAUGAUUAAAUGUGUACUAUAUGCA